CAGAGGUGCCUUGGGCUAUCUAGGAGAGGGCUAAAUAAUGGGCUUUCAGAAUUGUAUUAAAUGAUUCAAGACCCUGGAUGAUGUCUUUGAUCUCCAAGAGAUACCAUGAACAAUUCGUGUAUCGGUUUUCAACAGCCUAAUCCAUACAUCGAUUUCUCUUGCCAAGAGUCCAGUCUCUCAGAAUUUUAACUCAGCACACAUCCCCAUGAGACCUAUUCAUCCAGCCUUUACUUUCCCCACAUCAACAACUGCUGUUUGGACACACGGAACUGGAUGUCUUCUAUACAUCUCAAACUCACCAUUGUCCCAAAAUGAACUCAUCAUCCCCCUCUUUUUAGCUGCUCUCUUCUAAGCCACCUUCUCUUCUCUGAUACUGCCAGCCUGAGUGCCUCCCACCUAGACCACCGCAGGAGCUGCUUGGGGUGGGGAGAGGCCUGCCUGCCUCAAGUUUCUUCUUGAUCCAAUCUGUCCUCCAAGUUGGUGUCUGACCUGUCUGACCCAUCCAUGCUGAUGAACUGGGUUGGUCCUUUUGGGGAGGGAGGUUGGCAAGAGUAUGUUGUGUUAUUGUGUCAAUAAACUGGUUUAAAGUUGAAAAAA